rnacentral:rRNA from 1 species
AUUGAACGCUGGCGGAAUGCUUUACACAUGCAAGUCGAACGGCAGCACGAGAGCUUGCUCUUGGUGGCGAGUGGCGAACGGGUGAGUAAUAUAUCGGAACGUAUCCAAUAAUGGGGGAUAACUAAUCGAAAGGUUAGCUAAUACCGCAUACGCCCUACGGGGAAAGCAGGGGAUCUUCGGACCUUGCGUUAAUGGCGCGGCUGAUAUCUGAUUAGCUAGUAGGUGAGGUAAAGGCUCACCUAGGCUUCGAUCAGUAGCUGGUCUGAGAGGACGACCAGCCACACUGGAACUGAGACACGGUCCAGACUCCUACGGGAGGCAGCAGUGGGGAAUUUUGGACAAUGGGCGCAAGCCUGAUCCAGCCAUUCCGCGUGAGUGAAGAAGGCC